CCUACGGGAGGCAGCAGUGAGGAAUAUUGGUCAAUGGCCGUAAGGCUGAACCAGCCAAGUAGCGUGAGGGAAGACUGCCCUAUGGGUUGUAAACCUCUUUUAUGCGGGGAUAAAGGUGUCCACGUGUGGAUGUUUGCAGGUACCGCAUGAAUAAGGACCGGCUAAUUCCGUGCCAGCAGCCGCGGUAAUACGGAAGGUCCGGGCGUUAUCCGGAUUUAUUGGGUUUAAAGGGUGCGUAGGCGGAACAUUAAGUCAGCGGUAAAAUCGAGGGGCUCAACCCCUUUAAGCCGUUGAAACUGGUGAUCUUGAGUGGGCGAGAAGUAUGCGGAAUGCGUGGUGUAGCGGUGAAAUGCAUAGAUAUCACGCAGAACUCCGAUUGCGAAGGCAGCAUACCGGCGCCCGACUGACGCUGAGGCACGAAAGCGUGGGGAUCGAACAGGAUUAGAUACCCUUGUAGUC
rnacentral:rRNA from 1 species